AUAGACCAUUAAUGUUACCAAAUUAUUAAUAGAAUUUUUAAUUAAAUAGCUUAUAACCCGAAUCUUAGGAGCCUGGUUGUGGGGAUGUGCUUGUGGGAGCUUCACCAAUGUGGGAUCGACGUUCUUCUGGUAAGCAACAAGACUCUUCACAUUUGUAAUAUACAGGCACAUGAAGAGCUUCCCACGUUCUAUCGUUCUUGGCAUUUUUCAAGCAUUUAUCAAUACAUUCGUGGCAUUUUUGCGACGCAGAAUUGACAAAAUCAACUGCCCCAUAUAGAGCCAGGUAAAGCACAAACGCUGCAAUGAUCAUUUUCUGGUGAGAGAUCCUCAUUGUAGAAAGUUGACAACAAAAUAUGUGUGUAGUAUCUCUAUCUUAUAUUCAUAUAUUUUUAAAUAUUAAAUUUAUCUGUUUACCAGCAAUGUCAUUUUAUGCAUGCCCAAGAAAUU
rnacentral:lncRNA from 1 species